AAUCAACGCUGGCGGCGUGCCUCAGACAUGCAAGUCGAACGCGAAAGUUCCCUUCGGGGAGCGAGUAGAGUGGCGCACGGGUGAGUAACACGUAGGUAAUCUACCUUUGGAUGGGGAAUAACAACCGGAAACGGUUGCUAAUACCGCAUAAUGCAGCGGCACCUAAUGGUGACAGUUGUUAAAGCGGGGGAUCGCAAGACCUCGCGUCUAAAGAGGAGCCUGCGGCAGAUUAGCUAGUUGGUAAGGUAACGGCUUACCAAGGCGAUGAUCUGUAGCCGGCCUGAGAGGGCGGUCGGCCACACUGACACUGACAUACGGGUCAGACUCCUACGGGAGGCAGCAGUCGGGAAUUUUGGGCAAUGGGCGAAAGCCUGACCCAGCAACGCCGCGUGAAGGAUGAAAUCCCUCGGGAUGUAAACUUCGCAAGAACGGGAAGAAUAAGUAAGGGUUAAUAUCCCUUGCGAUGACGGUACUGUUUGUAAGCUCCGGCUAACUCCGUGCCAGCAGCCGCGGUAA
rnacentral:rRNA from 1 species